rnacentral:rRNA from 1 species
CCCUUAGAUGUUCUGGGCUGCACGCGCGCUACACUGAUGCGCUCAACGAGUUUUAACCUUGCCUGGAAAGGUUGGGUAAUCUUUUUAAAACGCAUCGUGAUGGGGAUAGAUUAUUGCAAUUAUUAAUCUUCAACGAGGAAUUCCUAGUAAGCGCGAGUCAUCAGCUUGCGUUGAUUACGUCCCUGCCCUUUGUACACACCGCCCGUCGCUCCUACCGAUUGAAUGGUCCGGUGAAGCGUUCGGACCGUGGCCUUUGGACGGUUCGCCGUCUGUUGGCUGCGGGAAGUUCGUUAAACCUUAUCAUUUAGAGGAAGGAGAAGUCGUAACA